rnacentral:rRNA from 1 species
GAUUGAACGCUGGCGGCGUGCCUAACACAUGCAAGUCGAACGUGAGGGUGCAGCAAUGUGCCUGAAAGUGGCGAACGGGUGAGUAACACGUAGGUGACCUACCCUGAAGUGGGGGAUAACCACUGGAAACGGUGGCUAAUACCGCAUGAGUCUUUCGGGAUGGGAAUUCCGGGAGGAAAGCUUUAGUGCUUCAGGAGGGCCUGCGUCCGAUUAGCUAGUUGGUGAGGUAAGGGCUCACCAAGGCGAUGAUCGGUAGCUGGUCUGAGAGGAUGAUCAGCCACACGGGAACUGAGACACGGUCCCGACUCCUACGGGUGCAG